UGGAUCAGAAUCUAAAAAACAUGGAAAGUUGUACACUUGAAUUCACGCUCUUUUUUUUUUUUUUUUUUUUUU
rnacentral:ribozyme from 15 species